rnacentral:rRNA from 1 species
UACGUAGGGUGCGAGCGUUAAUCGGAAUUACUGGGCGUAAAGCGUGCGCAGGCGGUUCGUUAAGUCAGAUGUGAAAGCCCCGGGCUCAACCUGGGAACUGCAUUUGAAACUGGCGGGCUUGAGUGUGGCAGAGGGGGGUGGAAUUCCGCGUGUAGCAGUGAAAUGCGUAGAGAUGCGGAGGAACACCGAUGGCGAAGGCAGGUCUCUGGGCAUUAACUGACGCUGAGGAGCGAAAGCAUGGGGAGCGAACAGG